GCUCCAGUAGCUCAGCGGUUAGAGCGUGCGAUUGCAGUGGCCUACACCAUUAUCGCAAUGUCCCUUGUUCGAAUCAGGGUUGGAGCU